GAUGAAGAACGUAGCGAAAUGCGAUAAGUAGUGUGAAUUGCAGAAUUCAGUGAAUCAUCGAAUCUUUGAACGCACAUUGCGCCCCUUGGUAUUCCAUGGGGCAUGCCUGUUCGAGCGUCAUUUGUACCUUCAAGCUUUGCUUGGUGUUGGGUGUUUGUCUCGCCUUUGCGUGUAGACUCGCCUUAAAAUAAUUGGCAGCCGGCGUAUUGAUUUCGGAGCGCAGUACAUCUCGCGCUUUGCACUCAUAACGACAGCGUCCAAAAGUACAUUUUACACUCUUGACCUCGGAUCAGGUAGGGAUACCCGCUGAACUUAAGCAUAUUCAAUAAGCGGAGGA
rnacentral:misc_RNA from 1 species